ACAGGGAUUGCCCUAGUAACGGCGAGUGAAGCGGCAACAGCUCAAAUUUGAAAUCUGGCGUCUUUGGCGUCCGAGUUGUAAUUUGCAGAGGGCGCUUUGGCAUCGGCAGCGGUCCAAGUUCCUUGGAACAGGACGUCACAGAGGGUGAGAAUCCCGUACGUGAUCGCUAGCCUUUACCGUGUAAAGCCCCUUCGACGAGUCGAGUUGUUUGGGAAUGCAGCUCUAAAUGGGAGGUAAAUUUCUUCUAAAGCUAAAUACUGGCCAGAGACCGAUAGCGCACAAGUAGAGUGAUCGAAAGAUGAAAAGCACUUUGGAAAGAGAGUUAAAAAGCACGUGAAAUUGUUGAAAGGGAAGCGCUUGCAGCCAGACUUGCCUGUAGUUGCUCAUCCGGGUUUCUACCCGGUGCACUCUUCUAUAGGCAGGCCAGCAUCAGUUUGGGCGGUUGGAUAAAGGUCUCUGUCAUGUACCUCUCUUCGGGGAGAACUUAUAGGGGAGACGACAUGCAACCAGCCCGGACUGAGGUCCGCGCAUCUGCUAGGAUGCUGGCGUAAUGGCUGUAAGCGGCCCGUCUUGAAACACGGACCAAGGAGUCUAACAUCUAUGCGAGUGUUUGGGUGUCAAGCCCGAACGCGUAAUGAAAGUGAACGGAGGUGGGAACCUUUCGGGGUGCACCAUCGACCGAUCCUGAUGUCUUCGGAUGGAUUUGAGUAAGAGCAUAGCUGUUGGGACCCGAAAGAUGGUGAACUAUGCUUGAAUAGGGUGAAGCCAGAGGAAACUCUGGUGGAGGCUCGCAGCGGUUCUGACGUGCAAAUCGAUCGUCAAAUUUGGGCAUAGGGGCGAAAGACUAAUCGAACUAUCUAGUAGCUGGUUCCUGCCGAAGUUUCCCUCAGGAUAGCAGUAACGUUUUCAGUUUUAUGAGGUAAAGCGAAUGAUUAGAGGCCUGGGGGUUGAAACAACCUU
rnacentral:rRNA from 1 species